UCCCUAAAACAAUAAAACAUAAUCCUUUUGCGUUCUUUCUUAUUGUUCUCUUCGCCUUGCCAGAUUUACGUCAUUGGUCUCUCGUCGCCGGUGUCUCGCCGAAGUAGAAAGAGAGAUUUGUAUGAUUUAGUCGAAAACGAAGAAGAAAGAGAGAUUUGAGAGCACACAUCUUCGAUCUCGAUUCUAAAGCUCAAGGUAAUUGGUUAGAGAGGUUGUGAGAGCUUGAGUGUAAACAUAUAGAGAAGCUUGGUGUAAACAUUCUUUGUGGUUUGUUUGUUUUUGCUGUUAGAAAAACAAAAAAAAUAAAGGAGAUUGCGGCAAAGAAGAGUUCCAAACAGUCGACGUAAGCUUCACGCGCCACCGUGACGUAGAAAAAACCUGAAAGAGAAGAAUAAGCGCAGCCAUGGAAUGUGCGGCAUCCAAGCUCGAUAACGAAGAUUAUGUAUGGUGAUGCAAGGAUUGCCGCCGUCUCAUGAAAGAAGUUGUAUACGUUCGUCAUCAUCUCACCACCGCUCACACCGAUUAUUGUUGAUCUCUUUGUUUCACUGGAUCUGCACUCUCUUCAUUUGCCUGCCGGUGAGUCUCUCCAUUCCAUCCUCCUUAUCUUUGAUUUGAAAAGAAACAAGGGAAUGGAUGCUUGCUUUCGUCUAUCCCACCAGAUCUGAAGCACUUGAAUUCAUAUUGGUCCAGAUUCUGAGAUUAAUUGAACAAUGGUGAUGGUGAAAUUGGGAAUGCUCCACUAUGUAAUCGAUGAUGUGGUUGUCCGAACAAUCUCAAUUUCAUAAUUCCGGUUUAGAAAGAUUGUUCUUUGCCAGUGAUGAUCUUUUUAAUUCGCAGCCUCCAUGUCGUUUAGACGAAGAAGAUGACGAAUAAGUUGAGAAUAAAAUUGCAAAAAGAUGACUAAUUUUAGCAUUUUUUAAAUAUAAUUAUGUCAAAUAAUAAUAAAAAUGUUAUUAUUGGAACAUAUGAGAAUGAGAAUGUGUGAUAAGUUUGGAAGAAAAACUUAGAUUAGUGUUUUUAUAGA